rnacentral:rRNA from 1 species
UGCCAGCCGCCGCGGUAAUACGGAGGGUGCGAGCGUUGUUCGGAAUUAUUGGGCGUAAAGCGCGUGCAGGCGGUUUAUUAAGUCUGAUGUGAAAUCCCGAGGCUUAACCUCGGAACUGCAUUGGAUACUGGUAAGCUAGAGGCCGAGAGAGGGAAAUGGAAUUCCUGGUGUAGGGGUGAAAUCCGUAGAUAUCAGGAGGAACACCGAAUGCGAAGGCGAUUUCCUGGCUCGGUUCUGACGCUGAGACGCGAAAGCGUGGGUAGAAAACGGGAUUAGAUA